UCCUGGUAGGCACGCCCCACACUCUCUCCAAAUCCAACAGUUUUCCCAUUUCCAUAAACAACUCAACUGUCCUACCCUCAGGUAAACUGU